rnacentral:piRNA from 1 species
UGUUUAGACCUUUCUGCCUUCAGACUUUC